UGAGGAAUAUUGGUCAAUGGACGCAAGUCUGAACCAGCCAAGUAGCGUGCAGGAUGACGGCCCUAUGGGUUGUAAACUGCUUUUAUAUGGGGAUAAAGUGGGGAACGUGUUCCCUUUUGCAGGUACCACAUGAAUAAGGACCGGCUAAUUCCGUGCCAGCAGCCGCGGUAAUACGGAAGGUUCGGGCGUUAUCCGGAUUUAUUGGGUUUAAAGGGAGCGUAGGCCGUUUGGUAAGCGUGUUGUGAAAUGUAGGAGCUCAACUUCUAGAUUGCAGCGCGAACUGUCAGACUUGAGUGCGCACAACGUAGGCGGAAUUCAUAGUGUAGCGGUGAAAUGCUUAGAUAUCAUGAAGAACUCCGAUGGCGAAGGCAGCUUACGGGAGCGCAACUGACGCUGAAGCUCGAAGGUGCGGGUAUCGAACAGG
rnacentral:rRNA from 1 species